GCAGCGCUCCCCCCCGCAGCGCUCCUCGCUCAGGGUGACGGCGCGGCCGCGGGACAGGAAGGUGACGGUGACAUCGGGGACCCCCGGCACCGCGCAGCCGCGCUCCUCCCGCCGCAACACGCGGCCCGACGCUGGGGGCGGGGUCAGGGGUCAAGGGUCAAGGGUUGGGGGCAGGGGGUCAGGGGUCAAGGGUGUGGGAGGAGGGGACAGGGGUCGGGAUGUGGGGUCAGGGGUUGGGGACGUGGGGGUGGAGGAUGGGGACGUGGGGUCAGAGGUCAGGGGUCAAGGACUUGGGGUUAGGGGUUAGGGGUCAAGGAUGUGGGGUUGGAGGUUGGGGACGUGGGGUCGGGGUCAGGGAUUUGGGGUCAGAGGUCAGGGGUCAGGGACUGGGGACACAGGGUCAGAGGUCAGGGAUAGGGGAUGGGAGGUCAGAGAUCAGGGCUUGGGGACGUGAGGUCAGAGGUCAGGGGUCACCAGGAGGUCAGGGGUCAGAGGUCAGGGGUUGGAGGUCGGAGGUCAGGGGUCAAAGGUCGGAGGUCAGGGGUCAGAGGUCAAAGGUCGGAGGUCAGGGGUCAGAGGUUAAAGGUUGGAGGUCAAAGGUCAGGGGUCGGAGGUCAGAGGUCAGGGGUCGGAGGUCAAAGGUCGGAGGUCAGGUGUCAGAGGUUAAAGGUCAGAGGUCAGA
rnacentral:lncRNA from 1 species